UGACCAACCGGCAUGAUCAUCAAUUCGUGAACUUGAACUCGUGGCGGGGUGCCCAGUACGUACAAUACAGCGUUGGAAAUGUCCUCGGCUUCCAACUUGGGAUACCCUUUGUUGAGCAUUUCUUCUGGCAAAAUUUCGCUUGAAGCAGCCAUGGUUGACAUAAAUGGAGGGGCAUAUGCGGCCGGUGGCCUCAACUUUGUGGCAACCAACUCGGUCAGACUGUCAGAAGAACAUGGUCGGUCUAUGAACACUGAUCCGCUGGAUUUGAGUUUAAAGGAAUCACCGUUCCGGCAACAGACUCAAACGAAAAUCUAAGGUUUGAUCGAUGAAGUUCAACAACUCACUGUUGACGCCCCUGAUGAUCCGCUACGCGGGCUGUCACAGAAGCGAGCCUUUUAUGAAGCUGAUAGUCUUCCGUCCGACGAUUCCGAAGAUAUGCAGUUUGAUACACAAGCAAAGACCGCCCAAGGUAGAUACGGCUCAUUCUUCUUUUGAUGACCUAGAAGAUGUAGAUGGCAACGUUGUCAUUGAAUGCAGCCAACCUACUAUCGUUGCAACAAAAAAGGUGCCAUCUCAGCGCAGAGGUCUGGUGGCGGAGAUUGCGAGAGAGACUGCACUCCCCAGCCUUGAUGUCAGCAAUCCCAUUGAAGAAUCGACGCAGAUGCGACACAAUGCAGACCCUGAUGCAGACAUAGAAGCUCUCUCAGAUGUUCCGGAUGGCUGGAGCCUAGAAGAGUGGCGACCGCCACGACCUGGAACACCUAAAGCUGAUGCUGUCCCUUAUGCUCGAAUUAUUCCAACCAUCUCUGUUGAAUCCCCUGCUGCAGGGAAUAGAGCAGCGGCAAGUUCGGUUUUGAACAAACGCAAAGAAGGCUCCAAGCAGCAACAGGAAGGCGGAAAGUACCGCAAAAAGUAUCUCGCACUUUUAUGAGGAAAUACCGUGAAAAGUGUGAGGCAUUGAAGAAACAGAUGGAGAAGAACCAGAAACAGCUGCUUAAGAUUGCAGAACUGAAAGAUGUGUUGGUUUUCGUCAAUGUAGAGGCGAAAAAAGCGAAAUUGGAUCCACAUGCUAAACAUACUUUCACAACGAAUGAUGAAAUCGACAUGACUGAGGAUCAAAUCGAAGAAGUUAAUAUGGCCUUCAAAUCCGACCUUACCUUCGGACAAAAUCUUGCGAUAUUUUUCUACGGUGCCCAAAGUUUACAACAAAUGUCCGUAACAAGACUGCAACUCGUCGGUUGAAGAACUCCACGACCAGGCAUAUCACCAAAAAAACUAAUAUUCAUUCACGAAAAAGUGCAACAACGAGUCGCCGCACGGCUUAGCGCCAAUAACACUGCCUGACAAAAUUUUACAAAAUUUGGUGUUAUGGGAUGAGAUAAAAAAUAACAGAGGUUUGGGACGCUAGAAGUGUCAUAGUGAAAGAAUUUUAGAAAAAUAUUGGACCGGGCCUUCACAGUUCAAAACCGAAGUUUGUAUGGAGAACUUGGGGUGUUGUUCUAUAUGGAUCAUCACCGUUGUUGAUUAUGUUGCGGGUUUGUUUAUCGGCUUUUUUCGGUGAAAAUGAUUAAAAUUCAGCAUUUCCCGAACGUUUCGACCUUCUACUGUUUUCGGUCAUCCUCAGCGGUUCCUUAAAUGUUUAUUUAAUCAGUAAUUUAUAUAAAAUAUUAUCAAAAACUUACAUGCUAUGGGGCAGAACUAUAACCAUUGCCCAUUUGUUUACUUCUGUUCAUUCGUUCGGUGUUAUAUUGGUGCUAGUGUUUUGUGUUUUUAGUUUUUCGAUCAGGCCGUUGUAUGCGGACCUGAACUUAAUAGAGUCUCUUUGCAAAUUUACAGUGUUGUCGUCCCCUUUGAUUUUUAUAUAAAAUGUUUCAGCUAUUAGACGAGUGUCUGUUCUAGAUAAUUCAUCUAAGAUAUUAGUUUUAUCAAAGUUAAAACAAUGACCUUCAUCAAUUGUAUGUUGUACUAGCGCAGUGCUACCUAUUUUUUUAGUUUUUACAUCAUUUUUGUGUUGUUCUAAUCUUUUGCUUAAAAAUGUUCUAAUGCACAUAUCAAUUGAACACCCCAAGUUCUCCAUACAAACUAGAGAUGGGAAAAUGAUUCAAUUUUGAGAAUGAAUCGCUACCGAUUCACUCUCAAAAAAGAGUCGACUCUUUUGACCGAUUCAGUAACUCUUUUCCGUAACUUGAUGAAAAAUGUUAUUUUUCGAUGUUAGCCAACUCCUUUUUUAUAUGUCCAGUUUUCUAGCUGGCAAGGUUGGACGUCGACUCAGCCAUCGACGCAAUAAAUGCAGGAUACACAGAUUUUCGUUCUUUCCAUUAAAGAGUCGAAUCACUAGCGCGAGCCGGCCAUACAAUAUACGAAUGAAAUUUAUCGAUUGGCAAAGAUUACGUUUUAUUCUGUGUCUAAACAUGACUUAAGUACGCAGUUAAUCUAACUAUUUUCGCCACUUGUUGUUCUCGAAAUGAACUUCAGCGAAUCGUAACUCUUUUGAAAAGAAUCGUGAUUCACUCACUCGGUUUCGCGAAUCGGUUCUUUGAGUCGACUCGCGAGUGAGUUACCCAUGUCUAAUACAAACUUCGGCUUUGAACUGUGAAGGCCCGGUCCAAUAUUUUUCAAAAGUUCUUUCACUAUGACACUUCUAGGAUCCCAAACCCCUGUUUUUUUUGUCUCAUCCCAUAACAAAAUUUAGUGUUGAACGGUGUAAUCUAUCUCCCAAGUAACUUCGGGAAAUGCUGAAUUUUAAUCAUUUUCACCGAAAAAAGCCGAUGAACAAACCCGCAACUUGAGGUGUUCAAUUGAUAUGUGCAUUAGAACGUGCCGUGCAUAUUUUUAGGCGUUUUCGGUAUUUGGGUUAGUUUCGUUAUUGCCUAACGCCUAAAAAUAUGCACAGCGCGUUCUAAUGCACAUAUCAAUUGAACACCCCAAGUUCUCCAUACAAACUUCGGCUUUGAACUGUGAAGGCCCGGUCCAAUAUUUUUAAAAAAUCUUUCACUAUGACACUUCUAGGGUCCCAAACCCCUGUUAUUUUUUUUUUCUCAUCCCACAACAAAAUUUAGUGUUGAACGGUGUUAUGAAUGACUGGAAUUAUAAGUUUCACCAUAAAUCCUAAAGCGCCGCUUUGAUCAACACGUUGGCCCAUUCAACCGUAAUAAACAAAGGAAUUGCUAAAAAGAUUGCGAACCUAAACAAGACAAAUAAGUACCGUAAUCCGGGGUCAAAUUGAUCACUUUAAAACAACUUUUGCGGAUAACAUCAGUGCCAAUUCAAAUAUUGCCAAAAGAAUUUCUGUAAAACCAGUACCCAGUGGAUCUCCAUGGAACCAUGUGACAGAAUUUUGUUCAAUAAAUUUAAACUUUAAGUUAAAUAACUCCAAAUAUCAAAAAAUUGGAAAUGCAACUUUGGGGCGAAAUUGAUCAGUAUACAAUCAAGCAUCGGUUGGAAAGGAAAAUUUCCUUCUCCGCUUAAUUUUGCUCUUCUAAAACCGAAUAACACGUUUAAAAUCUUACAACUAGUGAAUUUAAUACUUUAAAUGCAGAAUAAAAUAUUUAAAUGUCCCCUUAAACGCCUUAAGGUAGGCAAUUUCACUUGAAAUAAGUGGUUUCUAUCACAAAAAAUACUAUUUCAUCAUAAAAUAAACUUUUUUUUUACUAUUUCAUGUUCUGAUUAGCUACAUAACUUCCCAACCAAGGCUCCACAAAAAUGUUAAAACAGAGAAUUUACGGGAAGUCCUAUUAGCAAUCGAUUUUUUUAGUAGCAAUGAUUUCAGCUAAAUGAGAAAUACAUUGCAAAUUCAUUAAAAAUUAAGGCAAAACUAACUUUUUUCUAAAAAAUUUAAAGUCCACACUCAUCUCUAUACAUCUACGAGCCAGAUGACGUAAAAAGUUUAAGAUCAUUACGACGCUUAAGAGUUCCUAGUAUGGAAUUACAAUGUAGUACCCGAAUGAUCAAUUUCACCCCGCUGAUCAAUUUGACCCCGGUUUACGGUACGCAGAGGCUCGCAGUGCCAGUCGAGAUGUGGGCCAGGAAGCCCAAUCGAAAUGAUGGACUUGUCUAUGCCCAUUAGUACCCAAGUAACCACAAGCAUUAUAUCAUAACAUUAAUUCAAUUGUAUUAUAGUUUAGCUAAUGUAACAUAACUUUUAUUUUACAUCUGUCAAGUAAUGAAGCGUUUAAUCUACAUUAUGAAAGCAUUGAAGCAUUACGAGAUUUUGACAGUUCUGUAUAGUUCUAUAGAGCCGUUGUUAAAUGCUUCAUUACAUUACCAUGUUAAAAGCUUUAUAGCAAUCAAUAAUGCCAGCAUUUAUUACUUUAUAUAUGCCUUUACUAAAGCUUCCAUCGUUGUAAACAGAAAAUAUCGCUCAGUUCGAAAAAAAAAAUUUAUGGUGUCUUAUUUCUUGUAUUUUAGGUAGAAGUGUGCACGUAUGAAAACAAAAACCCGGAUUAAUCCACCUAGUGGUGAUAGUGCCUUUCUCGUCGAAUAUGUACUCAUGAUCUUUAUGUCGACAUUAGCCGAUCCUGAGAACACUUAUACGCUUAAUACGACCUUCUUAUGGACCAAAUUGUGCACAGUAAUUUUAGAUUGGGAGAUUGGAAAACUAUAUUCAGUGUUGAUGCGAUCAAAUUAUAAUUUUCCCAUAACACGUUGAUCCAUCCUACUUUAUAUUAACACCACAGGAAUUUGAAAUGGUGUGAUUUGAUGAGAUUGCUUUGGUCACAAUUUUAUUUUCUUGCAAAUAUGAAGACUUUGACCAUUUCUUCACUUUUAAACUUACCCACCGUUUAUCAGGCUUUUAAAAAAGUCAAGAUUUGAUUUAUCGCUAACAUUGGUUUUGUUCACUUUCAUAAUUCCACUAACUGAUGUACCGCAUGCAUGGGUUUGGUUCAAUUCCACGUUUGAUCAUUUCCGGCGGAUAC